rnacentral:rRNA from 1 species
UACGUAGGGUGCAAGCGUUGUCCGGAAUUAUUGGGCGUAAAGGGCGCGUAGGCGGCCUGUUAAGUCGAACGUGAAAUCCCCGGGCUCAACCCGGGAACUGCGUCCGAUACUGGCAGGCUUGAAUCCGGGAGAGGGAUGCGGAAUUCCAGGUGUAGCGGUGAAAUGCGUAGAUAUCUGGAGGAACACCGGUGGCGAAGGCGGCAUCCUGGACCGGCAUUGACGCUGAGGAGCGAAAGCCAGGGGAGCAAACGGG